GCCUGUUUGGCUCAGUUGGCAGAGCGUCUGCCUAGUAAGCAGAAGGUCAAUAGUUCGAUUCUGUUAACAGGCA